GGACGGGUGAGUAACACGUGGGUAACCUGCCUGUAAGACUGGGAUAACUCCGGGAAACCGGGGCUAAUACCGGAUGGUUGUUUGAACCGCAUGGUUCAAACAUAAAAGGUGGCUUCGGCUACCACUUACAGAUGGACCCGCGGCGCAUUAGCUAGUUGGUGAGGUAACGGCUCACCAAGGCAACGAUGCGUAGCCGACCUGAGAGGGUGAUCGGCCACACUGGGACUGAGACACGGCCCAGACUCCUACGGGAGGCAGCAGUAGGGAAUCUUCCGCAAUGGACGAAAGUCUGACGGAGCAACGCCGCGUGAGUGAUGAAGGUUUUCGGAUCGUAAAGCUCUGUUGUUAGGGAAGAACAAGUACCGUUCGAAUAGGGCGGUACCUUGACGGUACCUAACCAGAAAGCCACGGCUAACUACGUGCCAGCAGCCGCGGUAAUACGUAGGUGGCAAGCGUUGUCCGGAAUUAUUGGGCGUAAAGGGCUCGCAGGCGGUUUCUUAAGUCUGAUGUGAAAGCCCCCGGCUCAACCGGGGAGGGUCAUUGGAAACUGGGGAACUUGAGUGCAGAAGAGGAGAGUGGAAUUCCACGUGUAGCGGUGAAAUGCGUAGAGAUGUGGAGGAACACCAGUGGCGAAGGCGACUCUCUGGUCUGUAACUGACGCUGAGGAGCGAAAGCGUGGGGAGCGAACAGGAUUAGAUACCCUGGUAGUCCA
rnacentral:rRNA from 1 species